rnacentral:rRNA from 1 species
UGGGGGAUAUUGCGCAAUGGGGGAAACCCUGACGCAGCGACGCCGCGUGAAGGAAGAAGGUCUUCGGAUCGUAAACUUCUUUGAUUAGGGAAGAAUAGAUGACAGUACCUAAAGAACAAGCCACGGCUAACUACGUGCCAGCAGCCGCGGUAAUACGUAGGUGGCGAGCGUUGUCCGGAAUUACUGGGUGUAAAGGGCGCGUAGGCGGGGCUGCAAGUCAGAUGUGAAAUCCUGGGGCUCAACCCUGGGGCUGCAUUUGAAACUGUAGUUCUUGAGUGCAGGAGAGGGAAGUGGAAUUCCUAGUGUAGCGGUGAAAUGCGUAGAUAUUAGGAGGAACACCAGUGGCGAAGGCGGCUUCCUGGACUGUAACUGACGCUGAGGCGCGAAAGCGUGGGGAGCAAACAGG